UAGUGGCGAACGGGUGAGUAACACGUGGGCAAUCUGCCCUUCACUCUGGGACAAGCCCUGGAAACGGGGUCUAAUACCGGAUAUCACUCCUGCAGGCAUCUGCGGGAGUUGAAAGCUCCGGCGGUGAAGGAUGAGCCCGCGGCCUAUCAGCUUGUUGGUGAGGUAAUGGCUCACCAAGGCGACGACGGGUAGCCGGCCUGAGAGGGCGACCGGCCACACUGGGACUGAGACACGGCCCAGACUCCUACGGGAGGCAGCAGUGGGGAAUAUUGCACAAUGGGCGAAAGCCUGAUGCAGCGACGCCGCGUGAGGGAUGACGGCCUUCGGGUUGUAAACCUCUUUCAGCAGGGAAGAAGCGAAAGUGACGGUACCUGCAGAAGAAGCGCCGGCUAACUACGUGCCAGCAGCCGNGGUAAUACGUAGGGCGCAAGCGUUGUCCGGAAUUAUUGGGCGUAAAGAGCUCGUAGGCGGCUUGUCACGUCGGGUGUGAAAGCCCGGGGCUUAACCCCGGGUCUGCAUUCGAUACGGGCUAGCUAGAGUGUGGUAGGGGAGAUCGGAAUUCCU
rnacentral:rRNA from 1 species